rnacentral:lncRNA from 1 species
AGAAAAAUGUGCAACCCUACUCGGCUGAUGUCAAGUUCAAGUACAUUGCCGUUGGAAAUGAAGUACACCCUGAUGCUGCAGAAGCUAAAUAUCUUCUUCCUGCCAUACAGAAUAUUCAGAAUGCGGUAACAGCUGCUAAUCUACAAGGCCAAAUCAAAGUUUCAACAGCAAUAGAUACAACAUUUUUACUCCCUGACUUUGUCCUUCCUUCAAAUGGGGCAUUCAGCGAUGCUGCAAAUUCAUUCAUUACCCCAAUUAUCACCUUUUUGAGCAACAAUGGAGCACCACUUCUUGUCAAUAUAUACCCCUACUUCGCCUAUAUUGGUGACCCAGUUAACAUAAAACUAGAAUAUGCCUUGUUCACUUCACCAGGGGUAGAACUACAGGAUGGUAGUAACGGGUACCAGAACAUCUUUGAUGCUCUCUUGGACACUCAUUACUCUGCUCUUGAAAAAGCAGGGGCUCCCAAUAUGGCGAUAGUUGUAUCCGAGAGUGGUUGGCCAUCUGAAGGUGGUGAUGCUGCAACUACUGGUAAUGCAGGAACUUACUACAGCAAAUUGAUCAAUCAUGUGAAGACCGGGACUCCAAAGAGACCAAAUGGAGCUAUUGAAACUUAUCUGUUUGCCAUGUUUGAUGAAAACCUGAAGGAUGGUGCAGAAGUUGAGAAACAUUUUGGUAUCUUCUCCCCUAACAAACAGCCCAAGUACCAACUCACCUUUGGCUAGUGCAGCCUCACAAACAUGUUUUAGUUAAACAAGAGUGCCUUGCGCCCAUGUAUUCUUGUGAAACGAAUACAAUACAAUAAGGAUAGAUAACCUCACACAACUGAGCAAGAAAAUCCCAGGCUUCUAUAACCAUUCCAGCUUCACACAACACAACUAUGGGUAUAGUAUACGAAACCGCGUCCAUUAUUUUACUUUGCAUCUUUUACUACAUGUCAACUUUAUGAGAAGAGUACCAAAGCAAUGAAAUUGUGGAGGCUUUGAAAUCAAGGUGUCCGUCCCUUAUAUAAAUGCAAGUAUGCAACAGCAGGUUUUGUACAUUUUUUUUUUGCAUUUAAAACACAGAAUUGAGAUCUCAGAGGCUCUAUAUCCUUUCAAAAAAGAAAAUUCAACUUAACUAAAACGGCACUGUAUUACUACAUAAUCUAUAUGAACAUUAUAAUAAGAAAUAAAUAAGUAAACAUGAACAUGUCAAUUCAACUAACAAAGAUCAGGACUUCAAUAUCAUAAUGACUUAAAAGAAUCCAAAUUUAUACCAGACAAACUCAAAUAGACAGCUGCACUUGCAGGAACAAUCUGAAACUUGAGUCAUGACAGUACUAAAAGUUCCAAAACAAAAAAGAAGAAGAAGAAUUAAAUGUAGCAAAGCAUCAAGUAAACAUCAUCAAUCAAAAACAAGAAAAAGUACCAACUGCAGUCAUGUUCAAACUGGGAGAGAUUCAAAACUUACCAAGACCUGUUCAGCAAGCUAUGGUUAGGGCUACCAAUGCUGAAAAGUGAUCUAACUACGAUUUUAGGAACUGGUGGAUCUUGUUUCCCCCAAUCUUAUUCUCACAAAAAGUGCAACAGCACUCUAAUUCCUGAUAAAAUCUUUACAUGGUGGACAUGAUUAUAUAUAAAUGUUCAAUGUCAAAUAAGGAUACAACAGGAUCAAGGGACAAGGCUGCUACAGCCAUAAUCUACUAGGUGAUCAAUUCAAGUCAGAAUGGUGAAUACCAAGGUUAAAUGCUUUCAGCAUCACAUUUCCACAAAUAAAACUAGGAUUAACACUGCAUCAUAGCAUUAGCAUAAGAGCAUGAUUCAACACUAAUAAGAGCUGCACUUGCUUUACGUGUGAACUUUAAUACCAAAUUGAUGACUCACCCAGCAUCUCAUGAUUCAUUUGGAGUAGGUUCUGCUGUUUCUGCAAGCCUCCUUUGCUUUAAGCGAAGCCUUCUCAGUUCUCCAGCACUCAAAACCAGGAACAUCC